GAUUGAACGGCGGAUGGAGUUGGUGCGCGUCGUGUCUCACAACACACACAAGAGGAUGGUGUCGUGUCUACAGGGACACAUCGGAGCAGAGGCAGAAAAGAGACAUUCCGUUCCACGCCUCUAUACAGGAAACGGUCAGAAAAAGCUUCCUCUCACUGCACUAUCCCAGGCCAUGGUGGAAGGAGGAAACCAGUUGGGGGAGGACUCCUUGAUAGGGUGAGUUUGGGAAUGAGUG